rnacentral:rRNA from 1 species
AGGAAGCACCGGCUAACUCCGUGCCAGCAGCCGCGGUAAUACGGAGGGUGCAAGCGUUGUUCGGAAUUACUGGGCGUAAAGCGCGUGUAGGCGGUUAGGCAAGUCAGAUGUGAAAGCCUUUCGCUUAACGGAAGAAUUGCAUUUGAAACUACCUGGCUGGAGUUCGGGAGAGGAGAGUGGAAUUCCCGGUGUAGAGGUGAAAUUCGUAGAUAUCGGGAGGAACACCGGUGGCGAAGGCGGCUCUCUGGCCCGAUACUGACGCUGAGACGCGAAAGCGUGGGGAGCAAACAGGAUUAGAUACCCUGGUAGUCCACGCGGUAAACGAUGGGCACUAGGUGUAGGAGGUAUUGACCCCUUCUGUGCCGAAGCUAACGCA